rnacentral:rRNA from 1 species
AACGAACGCUGGCGGCAGGCUUAACACAUGCAAGUCGAACGCCCCGCAAGGGGAGCGGCAGACGGGGGAGUAACGCGUGGGAAUCUACCCAUCCCUACGGGAUAACACAGAGAAAUUUGUGCUAAUACAGUAUACGUCCUCCGGGAGAAAGAUUUAUCGGGGAUGGAUGAGCCCGCGUCGGAUUAGCUAGUUGGUGGGGUAAUGGCCUACCAAGGCGACGAUCCGUAGCUGGUCUGAGAGGAUGACCAGACACAUUGGGACGGAGACACGGCCCAAACUCCUACGGGAGGCAGCAGUGGGGAAUAUUGGACAAUGGGCGCAAGCCUGAUCCAGCCAUGCCGCGUGAGUGAUGACGGCCUUAGGGUUGUAAAGCUCUUUCACCCACGACGAUAAUGACGGUAGUGGGAGAAGAAGCCCCGGCUAACUCCGUGCCAGCCGCCGCGGUAAAAC